GAAAAAUUCUAUGUUGCUUUAUAGUUGUCGGACAUAUUUUAUCGGCUGCAUUGUGUCUAUAUGUUAUUUUCUGCUACCUGUACCGGCGUUGAGUCAAUCGCUCGCCGCCGUUCCAUUGCUGAAACUGAAGAGACUGCUGAAAUUCAAGAGACUGCUGAAAUUUAAAAACUGAUAAAUUAUGUAGUUGAUUUUAAGUGUAUACCUGACUUCUUCUCUCCCCAUUUUCUUUAGUAAACAGUAACCAACCUCCCCCCUCCUUCUAGCUGGUUAAUCACCCGAUGUGAUAAUGCGGAAAUAAUAAUGUGGGAAAUUUGGAGGGCUAUGAGGGAAAGUCUUCUAUGAUAAUUUGCUCCCUUAAUAUUUGUUUCAGAACUCCACUUUUACAAUUAUACAAGUUUUGUCUUAUAAUUAAUUGCUCCCUCAACAAUCCUAUAUCUGCAAACUGUUGUCCUACAAAACCUUACCUUAUAUAACUAAAUACUAAUAAAAAAUAAACCCACAACAAAUAAAACCGUAAAUGGAAAAAUUUA